rnacentral:rRNA from 1 species
UACGUAGGGUGCAGGCGUUAAUCGGAAUUACUGGGCGUAAAGCGUGCGCAGGCGGUUUGCUAAGACAGGUGUGAAAUCCCCGGGCUUAACCUGGGAACUGCGCUUGUAACUGGCAAGCUAGAGUGUGGCAGAGGGGGGUGGAAUUCCACGUGUAGCAGUGAAAUGCGUAGAGAUGUGGAGGAACACCGAUGGCGAAGGCAGCCCCCUGGGCUAACACUGGCGGUCACGCACGGAAGCGUGGGGAGCGAACAGG